AUAUCGGUGGUGCAAAUGGUUAACAUGCUUGGAUGUUAACUAAAAGGUUGGUGGUUCAAGUCCACCCAGAGGUG
rnacentral:tRNA from 1 species